CUGAAGAUUUGGUCGCAAGACCGCUCUUUCCACCCUUUGUUUACCAUACCAUGUUGCUUUGGCGAGUCGCCCUAGGCCACCGGCUUCGGCUGGUGCGUGCAUCGCCAGAGACCUCAAACAACCUGAUUUUUUGUGUUUGUCUGAACAACUUUUAAAUUAUUAA
rnacentral:misc_RNA from 1 species